CCUACGGGAGGCAGCAGUAAGGAAUAUUGGUCAAUGGAGGCAACUCUGAACCAGCCAUGCCGCGUGCAGGAAGACAGCCCUAUGGGUCGUAAACUGCUUUUAUACGGGAAUAAACUUUGAUUCGUGAAUCAAGCUGAAUGUACCGUAAGAAUAAGGAUCGGCUAACUCCGUGCCAGCAGCCGCGGUAAUACGGAGGAUCCAAGCGUUAUCCGGAUUUAUUGGGUUUAAAGGGAGCGUAGGCGGCCUAUUAAGUCAGGGGUGAAAGACGGUGGCUCAACCAUCGCAGUGCCUUUGAUACUGAUGGGCUUGAAUAUAGUUGAGGUAGGCGGAAUGUGACAAGUAGCGGUGAAAUGCAUAGAUAUGUCACAGAACACCGAUUGCGAAGGCAGCUUACUAAGCUAUGAUUGACGCUGAGGCUCGAAAGCGUGGGGAUCAAACAGGAUUAGAUACCCUGGUAGUCCACGCCCUAAACGAUGAUAACUCGAUGUUGGCGAUAUACAGUCAGCGUCCAAGCGAAAGCGUUAGGUUAUCCACCUGGGGAGUACGCCCGCAAGGGUGAAACGUCAAAGAGUAGUAGCGGNGAGAGAGCGACGGACGGACGACGACGGAGGGAGGAG
rnacentral:rRNA from 1 species